rnacentral:rRNA from 1 species
UAGUAUCGAGCGCGUCUUGUGGAGCACUGCCGCGUGAGUGAUGACGUUCUUCGGAUCUUAAAACUCUGUUGUAAGGGAAGAACACGUACGGGAGUAACUGCCCGUGCCUUGACGGUACCUUAUUAGAAAGCCACGGCUAACUACGUGCCAGCGCCGCGGUAAU